AACGCUGGCGGCGUGCCUAACACAUGCAAGUCGAACGAGAAGUACGUAGCAAUACGUAUUGUAAAGUGGCGCACGGGUGAGUAACACGUGGGUAAUCUGCCCUUGAGUUUGGGAUAACCCCGCGAAAGCGGGGCUAAUACCGAGUAAGACCACGGGGACCAAAGUCUCUGAGGUAAAAGAUGGCCUCUAUUUAUAAGCUAUCACUUGAGGAUGAGCCCGCGGCCCAUUAGCUAGUUGGCAGGGUAAUGGCCUACCAAGGCAAUGAUGGGUAGCUGGUCUGAGAGGACGAUCAGCCACACUGGAACUGAGACACGGUCCAGACUCCUACGGGAGGCAGCAGUGGGGAAUAUUGCGCAAUGGGCGAAAGCCUGACGCAGCAACGCCGCGUGGGGGAUGAAGGUUCUCGGAUUGUAAACCCCUUUCGACCGGAACGAAUCCCCUCCUGGUAAAUAAUCAGGAGGAUCGACGGUACCGGGAGAAGAAGCCACGGCUAACUCUGUGCCAGCAGCCGCGGUAAGACAGAGGUGGCUAGCGUUGUUCGGAUUUAUUGGGCGUAAAGCGCACGCAGGCGGUUUGGUAAGUCAGAGGUGAAAGUCCACAGCUUAACUGUGGCACUGCCUUUGAUACUGCCUUUCUUGAGUAGAGUAGGG
rnacentral:rRNA from 1 species